CUAGUUUAGUGUUUUUAACUUUGUUUAUAUGUUUUUAAGUCAGUUUAGAGGUUAUUAGCAAGCCCUCUUAAUCCCCGGUCCAGAACGAUCCCUACUUACAUUCUUUACUACAAUUGAUACAAGAGGGUUUUAAUUUGUGUGUUAAGUAAAUUUUCGCACCAGGUAGAAUAGUUGAUGAAGUCGGCGACAUAACAGGUGAAUGCGAGUCUCAAAUUUAAGAUAGUUUGCAUUGAUAUAAAACUCACAAAACCUUGCUAUGGUAAAACCCAAGAUGGGAGAAAAACCCAUAGAUGAAGGAGAAAAGUGAGAAGUAUGUAUAAUGUCUAAAAUAAACCUCAAACAGGACGAAAGUAGUGAACUCAACGGAGUAUAAUCAUCCCAGGAUGGGUGCCUCGUUAAAACCUCAUUAGGUAGUAAAAACCUAAUGAGAAAAGCCCCUAACCAUAGGAAAAAUAGUACAUUAAGAUCAAGUGAGAAUGAUUCAGGAUACUCCUCCUGAGUUAGACAUAACUUCUAAAUAAGAGAACUACAAGCAAUUCAACUUAGAUAAUUUACGCAUACCGAUUCCUUGGAUGAGCUUCUAAAAAGUAGA
rnacentral:lncRNA from 1 species